rnacentral:rRNA from 1 species
GACGAGGGGCUCAAGUAAAUGUUUUUAGUUUAGUAGUUAGAUGAUUAUUUAUNGAAAGUAGGUUUAGUCUUNUUGGGUGAAAUUUUAAGAUUAAUUAAUUUCUUANNNUGNUUUUGAAGCUAUGAAAUUUAAAUUUUAAACUA